rnacentral:rRNA from 1 species
UACGUAGGUGGCGAGCGUUGUCCGGAUUUACUGGGCGUAAAGAGCGCGCAGGCGGUCGUACAAGUCGCGUGUGAAAUCCCUCGGCUCAACUGAGGAACUGCCUUUGAAACUGUCUGGCUUGAGGCCGGGAGAGGGUAGCGGAAUUCCCAGUGUAGCGGUGAAAUGCGUAGAUACUGGGAGGAACACCGGUGGCGAAGGCGGCUACCUGGACCGGUUCUGACGCUGAUGCGCGAAAGCGUGGGUAGCAAACAGG